UGCAUUCUUAGAAAACUCAAAUACUUCUUGAACUAUUCAAUUCUGGUUGGCAUGGUUGUAAUCUAUCUUAUUUGCCAUGCACAAUGUGCUCCUGUGUAUACUGCACACCCACAUUUUUGGCCCAAACUUUCAAGAAAAAAAUCCCCCUUUUUAAUUUUUUAAAUUCAAUUAUUUAUUUAUUUGUAUUUAGAAACAAAACCAACUAUUGUAGUCAAGGGUAUUAUUUUGCUUAUGAACAUAGUUAUUGCUUUCUAAAGUUACACUUUUAAUGCAUAAGGAUAAAUAAAAGAAUUAAAAACAUUUAUAUAGAUACAGAAUUAGUACUACCCAUGUAGAAUGUGCAUCCGUAUUUUUCCCUCAAAAAUUUGGGCCAAAAAGUGUGCAUCAUGCACAGCCAAAUACAGGUAAAUGGAAUCUUAUUGCCAUCUAGUGGUCUGGUGGUAUUAGUAACUUCAUUUAGAAACAAAAUGCAGCAUUUUACCAAGAUUGUUGUUUGGGCAGCAAAUGUGAUUUACGGAUACUUUCAUAAGAAAAAAGUAUUUAAUAACUGACGCCAUAUUCUGAGAACAUUUGGGUUUGCAGGAUCACCCCUACAGGAUGUGUGGAAGUGAACAGUGUUAUACAUUGAACUUGAAAGCAGAUUUUCCUGAACUAACUUAAGGCUAUUCCUCAAAGGAGAAACUUGGUUUAAUAAGUAGGGGAAAUGAUGAUAAAGAAAGUUCAACAUGUUCCUUCCUGCAGAACUUCUCAGAGACAUUAAUAGGAUAUUGUGCUUUGUGAAGCUCCAAGAGGGGAUUAUGCGUGAUGUGUUUUCCAGACUCUGGGGGAAGGUACUUUGGGAACACUGCUUUAUUAUCGUCUCACCGUAUAUUAAAACCGUCUAUGAGCUGCCAUGGUUUUCCUGGCUACAGAGCCUUCACUCACCUUCAUACCCAUGUUCUAGACACAGUGGAUUCAAGCAGCAUUGUAAGAAGUCAGGAAUCAUGCCUCACAUUUAUACGGAUCUUAGUUUUGGGGCAGUAAUUUCUUUGAUUUAAAUUAGUAUUGUUUCACAUUGAACACUGUUUUGAUGUAAUGUGCUUUCUUUUGGAUUUGGGGAGUGUGGUCUCCUGCCCCGUGCACAGUUACUUUCACUAAUUGUUGUCAGUGACAGCAGAAAUGACUUCAAGUUUUCUACUUCUGAAACCACCCGGGCCACCCUUCAGACGCCAAGGCCCCGUGAUGGCCCCUGACAGCCCGGAGUUCCCACUCGGACCGGACCCGCCUGUGCUUUGUCCUUAUCCUGGAGGACAUAUGCCCUGGAUUUUUUCAUCUUUGAUAAAUGUUUCCCAUAAAUU